rnacentral:tRNA from 3 species
GGAGGGGUCGCCUAGUGGCUUUAUGGCGGAAGUCUUGAAAACUUCUAGGAGCUAACGUUCCUCGUGGGUUCGAAUCCCACCCCCUCCGCCA